rnacentral:rRNA from 1 species
AUUGACCGCUGGCGGCAGGCCUAACACAUGCAAGUCGAGCGAGCGGCGGACGGGUGAGUAAUGUUUGGGGCCUGCCCGAUAGAGGGGGAUAACUACUGGAAACGGUAGCUAAUACCGCAUACUAUCGGAUAACCCAUAUGGGGUUAGCUAGUAGGUGAGGUAAUGGCUAACGUAGGCGACGAUCCCUACCUGGUCGGAGAGGCUGAUCAGCCACACUGGGACUGAGACACGGCCCAGACUACUACGGAGGCAGCAGUGGGGAAUAUUGCACAAUGGGCGCAAGCCUGAUGCAGCCAUGCCGCGUGGAUGAAGAAGGACCUAGGGUUGUAAAGUACGGUCAGUCGGGAGGCGUUACCGACAGAAGAAGCACAGGCUAACUCCGUGCCAGCAGCCGCGGUAAUUC